CAAGGAUGUACUUGUUAUUGCAAACGAGUUAUUGCUUUGUAUUUUUACAUGCCGGUGGUUGGAAGGCGAUAAUAAUUUCUGUAUGUCUACACAUAGUAUAUUCAUCCCACUGGAAAAAGCAUCAAGAAUGUGUGUGCAGAGAUGUCUUGGAGGGACAAUAUAUGUUUGUUUUCCCUACAUGCCAAUCCACCUUAUUAUAUUAGGACAUAUUACUCAUCUCUAAUAUUGUUUUUUUUCUAAUUUAUGAACAUAUUAUGCCUACAAUGACGAGCUAUUCUAUUAGGAUACUUAAAUUAGGGAGCCUUAAUAAAUAAUAGUAUAAAGAUGGUACUGAAGGAGGCUUUGCAACUAGCAAGGUACUCUGUUUACAAUCUAACUGGUAUUUCUUAAAAGAUGUAUGGCUGUUGUGUCUCUCAGGCAAUAUAAAACAUGAUUCUACAUGCUCUGCUAAAUUUGCAACUUUCAAUGUUUUGUGGGGCCUUUCCUCUCAACUGUAGAGAUUUUACCUAAAGGUGUUCUUCCCUGAUUUUCCUGUGUGUGACUCUAGCUAUUUUACUUCAUUUAUGUUGUUUGUUUCGUCAAUUCUGUUGAAGUUACUGUAGUUGACUGAUUUGAAUUGUUGAUCGUCCACCUUGAAGGUUAUAAUUGCUAAAGAAGCAGCAAGAGAUUUUGAAUAUAUGGUCCGACAACUUCCACCUGAUCAGAUUGAAAAUAAAAGUAGAAGAUUGCAUCCAGCGAACAAUGAUUAAGCAUAUUCAUCGAACAAAGCAUUGAAUAUACAAAGGUCUCCACAAGGUUUGCAUAAGAAGAUCUGGUCGCGUGCAAGAUUGGAGCGCCCUGUGCAAUUCCUCGACUGUUUGACACAGCGAGCGUCGAACGGGAGGGCUCCCAGGGGAGGCACGCCCGCCAGGGGCAUCUCCUUCGUUUGGGCAAGGCCACCGCUUCCCUUUUUGCCACCAGUGAAUAACAGUCGCGGCACCACAUCAUUCACUUGCCUACGAUAGAUUGACGGGUGCUCCACUCCACUACUCCAUCUCAUGUUGUAUAUUUCCUCUCUUUAUAUCAAAUAAAGUAUAGCAUGUAAAUAUGUUUAAAUUCAGAAAUAACAUUUUCCUUCUAUCUUCACUUAUACUGUUUGGGUUAGUAUAAAUAAAUUCAGCGGAUGCUCUUAUUUGAAGCCAGAUUAUAGGAUUAUUCCUCUGGUGUUAUUGAUGGUUUGAUCUA